CAGCCAGCCAGUAAGUCAGCCAGUUAUUCAGUCAGUCAGCAAGGGCCACACAAGGUAACAGACAGGGGAACUUGCAGGCAGCUCCUAACAGCUCUGAACUAAACACGGACUCAGAUUCACUUCAGAAAAGCCCUGUCUGAGUCAGUGGAGGAGACCGACAAGCUAACUACCUGACUCAGUCAGUCAGUCAUGAUGUGUAAUGUUACCUACCCAUCCAUGAAGUCAUUGGCUCUCUGUUCAGCAGCGAUGGCCUUCUCGUCUGGCCGGCCCACCCGCUCUAGGAAGCAGAGGGCAGGGUCUGCACGCACUGUGUUAUACUUCUCAUAACCUGUAUAGUGGACCACAGUGGAGAGACAGCCUGGAGUGUGGGAGGUAUCUGACAGAGAAGGGAACCUCUCUGCCCCAGACAUGGAGCUCAUACAUGCACAUGAGUGUCGUUCUGUGGGUUCCAGUCUGAGUCAAAGAUAAUACAGGUGUCAGCAGCAGUCAAGUUGAUGCCCAGACCUCCAGCCCGGGUACACAGCAGGAACACAAAGCGGUCCGAGUCUGGUUUGCUGAAACGGUCUAUAGCUGCCUGACGCAGGUUACCUCUCACUCUGCCAUCGAUACGCUCAUACAGCCUCUUUCCCAGGAGCCCUGGCCUCGCCUCUGCCUUACCCCACAUCCUACCCCUCAUCUUCUUCACCUUACACACCUCACCUCUACAGUGACCCACUUCCCUCCACCGGCCCAGACUCCUCUCUCCCUCUGUCUGCCGUGGGAGUGCCCCGAGGGAGUCUGUGACCUGCCGCUGAACCCCGGCUAAGCCUAGCCUAGCCACUGAGCGGAGCGCCUCGCCUUGUGUGUUUACACUGAUUUGGUUCGAAAUUUGAGUGCCAGAAAGAAGCAUGGAGGGGAAAAGAACACAGGGCCAGGCAAGGGAUAGUGAGAGACAAGAGAGGAUAACAAGAGGGAGAAGAAGAGAGAGGACAGAAAUAUCCAGAGGGAGGGAAAAAGAGAUAGAGAGACCACACAGACCAGGCCAGUUGCCUGCUUUCCUCAGCUUAGACGGGCUGCUGGGAUAAUGUCCUUUUCAUUUAGCGUGCAAACAGGAAGAUCAUUAAACCAGGAGAUUAAGACCUUGAAUGAAAGGGUCUUGGUACAUUCUUCUGCUUCUGUUACACAGUCUUUAUCAUCUCCCUGCUCUGGGUAGCAUUAUGGAGUGAUGAGCACUGGGGGCUUUAAAAGGCUCUUUCUCAGACACUGAAGAGAGAGGCUAAUGCUUAGAUAUUCAACAUUUCUCUUCAACUACAUUCAAUUUAAUAAGGGAAAGUACUGGAGUGAUUCAGCUUUUGUUGCACUGCACACUGCUAGCUAGCUAACACCAGAUAAUAAACCAUAAAUACUUCACUUUGAAAAUGGAGCUGAAAAAUGGAAAUGACAAAGUCUAUUAUUACCCUCUCAAGCAUGAUUCCUGUCUUUUUCCACAUCAGCCUAGCUGAAAGAUAUGAAAUAUCUGAGGAGAGAGAACCUUGAUUUCCAGGCUUCUAUUGGAGUGGAGUACUUGGGAGCAUAGUAAUACAAGGCGAGAAGAGAGGCAGGCAGCAGUACCUU